rnacentral:rRNA from 1 species
AGGACGAACGCUGGCGGCGUGCUUAACACAUGCAAGUCGAGCGAUGAAGCACCUUCGGGUGUGAAUUAGCGGCGAACGGGUGAGGAACACGUGAAGAAUCUGCCUUCAACUCUGGGAUAACUCCGGGAAACCGGGGCUAAUACCGGAUAUGAGCCUUGAUCGCAUGAUCGGGGCUGGAAAGUUUUUCGGUUGAAGAUGACUUCGCGGCCUAUCAGCUUGUUGGUGAGGUAAUGGCUCACCAAGGCGACGACGGGUAGCCGGCCUGAGAGGGCGACCGGCCACACUGGGACUGAGACACGGCCCAGACUCCUACGGGAGGCAGCAGUGGGGAAUAUUGGGCAAUGGAGGAAACUCUGACCCAGCGACGCCGCGUGAGGGAUGAAGGCCUUCGGGUUGUAAACCUCUUUCAGUAGGGAAGAAGCGAAAGUGACGGUACCUACAGAAGAAGCACCGGCUAACUAUGUGCCAGCAGCCGCGGUAAUACAUAGGGUGCAAGCGUUGUCCGGAAUUAUUGGGCGUAAAGAGCUCGUAGGUGGUUCGAUACGUCGGAUGUGAAAAUCAGGGGCUCAACCCCUGACCUGCAUCCGAUACGGUCGAGCUAGAGUUUGGUAGGGGAGACUGGAAUUCCUGGUGUAGCGGUGGAAUGCGCAGAUAUCAGGAGGAACACCGAUGGCGAAGGCAGGUCUCUGGGCCAAUACUGACACUGAGGAGCGAAAGCGUGGGGAGCGAACAGGAUUAGAUACCCUGGUAGUCCACGCCGUAAACGGUGGGCGCUAGUUGUGCGAACCUUCCACGGUUUGUGCGACGCAGCUAACGCAUUAAGCGCCCCGCCUGGGGAGUACGAUCGCAAGAUUAAAACUUAAAUGAAUUGACGG